AGUGAACGCUGGCGGUAGGCCUAACACAUGCAAGUCGAACGGCAGCACAGUAAGAGCUUGCUCUUACGGGUGGCGAGUGGCGGACGGGUGAGGAAUACAUCGGAAUCUACUUUUUCGUGGGGGAUAACGUAGGGAAACUUACGCUAAUACCGCAUAUGACCUACGGGUGAAAGCAGGGGAUCUUCGGACCUUGCGCGAUUGAAUGAGCCGAUGUCGGAUUAGCUAGUUGGCGGGGUAAAGGCUCACCAAGGCGACGAUCCGUAGCUGGUCUGAGAGGAUGAUCAGCCACACUGGAACUGAGCCACGGUCAAGACUCCUACGGGAGGCAGCAGUGGGGAAUAUUGGACAAUGGGCGCAAGCCUGAUCCAGCCAUACCGCGUGGGUGAAGAAGGCCUUCGGGUUGUAAAGCCCUUUUGUUGGGAAAGAAAAGCAGCAGGUUAAUACCCCGCUGUUCUGACGGUACCCAAAGAAUAAGCACCGGCUAACUUCGUG
rnacentral:rRNA from 1 species